rnacentral:rRNA from 1 species
AGUGAACGCUGGCGGUAGGCCUAACACAUGCAAGUCGAACGGCAGCACAGUAAGAGCUUGCUCUUACGGGUGGCGAGUGGCGGACGGGUGAGGAAUACAUCGGAAUCUACUUUUUCGUGGGGGAUAACGUAGGGAAACUUACGCUAAUACCGCAUACGACCUACGGGUGAAAGCAGGGGAUCUUCGGACCUUGCGCGAUUGAAUGAGCCGAUGUCGGAUUAGCUAGUUGGCGGGGUAAAGGCCCACCAAGGCGACGAUCCGUAGCUGGUCUGAGAGGAUGAUCAGCCACACGGGAACUGAGACACGGUCCAGACUCCUACGGGAGGCAGCAGUGGGGAAUAUUGGACAAUGGGCGCAAGCCUGAUCCAGCCAUACCGCGUGGGUGAAGAAGGCCUUCGGGUUGGAAAGCCCUUUUGUUGGGAAAGAAAAGCAGCAGGUUAAUACCCCGCUGUUCUGACGGUACCCAAAGAAUAAGCACCGGCUAACUUCGUG